UACGUAGGGUGCGAGCGUUGUCCGGAAUUAUUGGGCGUAAAGGGCUCGUAGGCGGUUUGUCGCGUCGGGAGUGAAAACUCAGGGCUUAACCCUGAGCCUGCUUCCGAUACGGGCAGACUAGAGGUAUGCAGGGGAGAACGGAAUUCCUGGUGUAGCGGUGAAAUGCGCAGAUAUCAGGAGGAACACCGGUGGCGAAGGCGGUUCUCUGGGCAUACCUGACGCUGAGGAGCGAAAGUGUGGGGAGCGAACAGG
rnacentral:rRNA from 1 species